rnacentral:rRNA from 1 species
UACAGAGGGUGCGAGCGUUAAUCGGAAUUACUGGGCGUAAAGCGUGCGUAGACGGUAGCGUAAGUCAGAUGUGAAAGCCCCGGGCUCAACCUGGGAAUUGCAUUUGAGACUGCUCUGCUCGGGUGCGGAAGAGGGAAGCGGAAUUUCCGGUGUAGCGGUGAAAUGCGUAGAUAUCGGAAGGAACACCAGUGGCGAAAGCGGCUUCCUGGUCCGACACCGACGUUCAGGCACGAAAGCGUGGGGAGCAAACAGGG